rnacentral:rRNA from 1 species
UGAGGAAUAUUAGUCAAUGGACGAGAGUCUGAACCAGCCAAAUCGCGUGAAGGAAGACUGCCCUACGGGUUGUAAACUUCUUUUGUACAGGAAUAAAAGACAUUACGUGUAAUGUAUUGCAUGUACUGUACGAAUAAGCAUCGGCUAACUCCGUGCCAGCAGCCGCGGUAAUACGGAGGAUGCGAGCGUUAUCCGGAUUUAUUGGGUUUAAAGGGUGCGCAGGCGGGAUUUUAAGUCAGCGGUGAAAUUUUCAGGCUCAACCUGAACACUGCCGUUGAAACUGGGAUUCUUGAGUAUGGAUGAANUAGGCGGAAUUCGUUGUGUAGCGGUGACAUGCUUAGAUAUAACGAGGAACUCCGAUUGCGUAGGCAGCUUACUAAGCCAUAACUGACGCUCAAGCACGAAAGCGUGGGGAUCAAACA